rnacentral:rRNA from 1 species
AUUGAACGCUGGCGGCAUGCCUUACACAUGCAAGUCGAACGGUAACAGGUCUUCGGACGCUGACGAGUGGCGAACGGGUGAGUAAUACAUCGGAACGUGCCCAGUCGUGGGGGAUAACUACUCGAAAGAGUAGCUAAUACCGCAUACGAUCGGAGGAUGAAAGCGGGGGACCUUCGGGCCUCGCGCGAUUGGAGCGGCCGAUGGCAGAUUAGGUGGUUGGUGGGAUAAAAGCUUACCAAGCCGACGAUCUGUAGCUGGUCUGAGAGGACGACCAGCCACACUGGGACUGAGACACGGCCCAGACUCCUACGGGAGGCAGCAGUGGGGAAUUUUGGACAAUGGGCGAAAGCCUGAUCCAGCAAUGCCGCGUGCAGGAUGAAGGCCUUCGGGUUGUAAACUGCUUUUGUACGGAACGAAAAAGUCUCCUCUAAUACAGGAGGCCCAUGACGGUACCGUAAGAAUAAGCACCGGCUAACUACGUGCCAGCCGCCGCCGUAA